UUAAACUGAAGAGUUUGAUCAUGGCUCAGAUUGAACGCUGGCGGCAGGCUUAACACAUGCAAGUCGAGCGGAAACGAUGAUAGCUUGCUAUCAGGCGUCGAGCGGCGGACGGGUGAGUA
rnacentral:rRNA from 1 species